UACGUAGGGUGCAAGCGUUAAUCGGAAUUACUGGGCGUAAAGCGUGCGCAGGCGGUUUUGUAAGUCUGUCGUGAAAUCCCCGGGCUUAACCUGGGAAUUGCGUUGGAGACUGCAAGGCUUGAAUCUGGCAGAGGGGGGUAGAAUUCCACGUGUAGCAGUGAAAUGCGUAGAGAUGUGGAGGAACACCGAUGGCGAAGGCAGCCCCCUGGGUCAAGAUUGACGCUCAUGCACGAAAGCGUGGGGAGCAAACAGG
rnacentral:rRNA from 1 species